ACGGGUGAGGAAUACAUCGGAAUCUACCUUUUCGUGGGGGAUAACGUAGGGAAACUUACGCUAAUACCGCAUACGACCUUCGGGUGAAAGCAGGGGACCUUCGGGCCUUGCGCGGAUAGAUGAGCCGAUGUCGGAUUAGCUAGUUGGCGGGGUAAAGGCCCACCAAGGCGACGAUCCGUAGCUGGUCUGAGAGGAUGAUCAGCCACACUGGAACUGAGACACGGUCCAGACUCCUACGGGAGGCAGCAGUGGGGAAUAUUGGACAAUGGGCGCAAGCCUGAUCCAGCCAUACCGCGUGGGUGAAGAAGGCCUUCGGGUUGUAAAGCCCUUUUGUUGGGAAAGAAAAGCAAUCGAUUAAUACUCGGUUGUUCUGACGGUACCCAAAGAAUAAGCACCGGCUAACUUCGUGCCAGCAGCCGCGGUAAUACGAAGGGUGCAAGCGUUACUCGGAAUUACUGGGCGUAAAGCGUGCGUAGGUGGUUGUUUAAGUCUGUUGUGAAAGCCCUGGGCUCAACCUGGGAAUUGCAGUGGAUACUGGGCGACUAGAGUGUGGUAGAGGGUAGUGGAAUUCCCGGUGUAGC
rnacentral:rRNA from 1 species